AAGACUAUAGACCUGCGGAGUACCUGCGGAAGGAUCAUUAACGUAUCUAUGAUGGGGUGCGGAGCGCCCUGCUCCGGUCGAACGGCCGUGCAGCGGGUGCGCCGCCCCCGUCCCACCUCACAAACCCACUGUGAACAUUCACCGGUGGAGGGGGCUCGGUCUGCGCCGUGUCCCCGAUGCCGAAUACCCAAACUCCAGUUGCAAAGGACGUCGUGCGGACUCGGUGCCGCCUAAAACAUG
rnacentral:misc_RNA from 1 species